UACGAAGGGGGCUAGCGUUGCUCGGAUUUACUGGGCGUAAAGGGCGCGUAGGCGGACAGUUAAGUUGGGGGUGAAAGCCCGGGCUCAACCUCGGAAUUGCCUUCAAUACUGGCUGUCUUGAGUGUGAGAGAGGUGUGUGGAACUCCGAGUGUAGAGGUGAAAUUCGUAGAUAUUCGGAAGAACACCAGUGGCGAAGGCGACACACUGGCUCACUACUGACGCUGAGGCGUGAAAGCGUGGGGAGCAAACAGG
rnacentral:rRNA from 1 species